GAUGAACGCUGGCGGCGUGCCUAAUACAUGCAAGUCGAGCGAACAGACGAGGAGCUUGCUCCUCUGACGUUAGCGGCGGACGGGUGAGUAACACGUGGAUAACCUACUUCUAAGACUUGGAUAAUUUCGGGAAACCGGAGCUAAUACUGCCUAAUAUAUUCAACCGCAUGGUUCAAUAGUGAAAGACGGCUUUGGUGUCACAUAUAGAUGGAUCCGCGUCGCAUUAGCUAGUUGGUAAGGUAACGGCAUACCAAGGCAACGAUGCGUAGCUGACCUGAGAGGGUGAUCGGCCACACUGGAACUGAGACACGGUCCAGACUCCUACGGGAGGCAGCAGUAGGGAAUCUUCCGCAAUGGGCGAAAGCCUGACGGAGCAACGCCGCGUGAGUGAUGAAGGUCUUCGGAUCGUAAAACUCUGUUAUUAGGGAAGAACAAAUGUGUAAGUAACUAUGCACGUCUUGACGGUACCUAAUCAGAAAGCCACGGCUAACUACGUG
rnacentral:rRNA from 1 species